UACGAAGGGGGCUAGCGUUGCUCGGAAUCACUGGGCGUAAAGCGCACGUAGGCGGCUUACUAAGUCAGGGGUGAAAUCCUGGAGCUCAACUCCAGAACUGCCUUUGAUACUGGUGAGCUUGAGUCCGGAAGAGGUGAGUGGAACUGCGAGUGUAGAGGUGAAAUUCGUAGAUAUUCGCAAGAACACCAGUGGCGAAGGCGGCUCACUGGUCCGGUACUGACGCUGAGGUGCGAAAGCGUGGGAGCAACAGG
rnacentral:rRNA from 1 species